AUCAGUUAGGUUUGGGGUCAAUUUAAUUAAAAUUUCAGUCAAUUCAGAAAGUAAACCACAUUUAAAUUCCAAUUUGUCCUAACUGAAAAGCUUUGAUGAGAAUUGGAAUUUCAGUGUACUUCCUGAAUUGACUGGAAUUGGGACCAGGUGUGGUGUCAAUCUCCAACACACACAGUAGAAAUGUGCAUGACGCACCCACUUCGGGAACUGGCCCUUUCAGCUAUCUAUUUCCUGUGUUUGAGGAGUCCACAAAAUCCACUUGUCACUUAAAUAUUGCUGGCUUGAUUGCUUACGUUUUACUCCUGCGACUCAUUCCUACUCUUGCUUGUGUCUCAUUUUUUUAACGUUAUGAUCGCUUGAAUGUUUGUAGUGACCUGUCGAACACCCUGGUAAUGGCUGAAAUGGGCUCAAUGGAAAACAUUUGCUUUCCAUUGCAUCUAUAAAAACGCUAAAUCUUCGUCUGGGAUUUAACACACAUUUAACUUACAUCACAAGAAAGAUAACUUUAUUUUGUUUGGUGUUAAUUUUUUUGUGGAACUUAAAGUAAUUUAAUACAUUUUGAAAUGUUUACAAAUUAACGUGUGCUGAAAUGAAAGUAACUUCCGAAAAUAAACACUUGGAUUAUAUUUAUGUCUGAUUACACAAAUAAUUUAAAGUAUGUAUAGAUGGGUAUAAUCUAGAGCCAAGCGUGUUGAUUUUAAAUAUGAGGGUAUCCUGCUAUUGAAACACAUGUUGAAUUAUGCAAGAGAACAGGACAACAGUAAUUUAAUGCAGUCAAGACGGCCUAGACACAGCAGGUGAGUGCAGGUGGGCCUAGACACAGCAGGUGAGUGCAGGUGGGCCUAGACACAGCAGGUGAGUGCAGGUGGGCCUAGACACAGCAGGUGGGCCUAGACACAGCAGGUGGGCCUAGACACUGCAGGUGGGCCUAGACACAGCAGGUGAGUGCAGGUGGGCCUAGACACAGCAGGUGGGCCUAGACACAGCAGGUGGGCCUAGACACUGCAGGUGGGCCUAGACACUGCAGGUGAGUGCAGGUGGGCCUAGACACAGCAGGUGGGCCUAGACACAGCAGGUGAGUGCAGGUGGGCCUAGACACAGCAGGUGGGCCUAGACACUGCAGGUGGGCCUAGACACUGCAGGUGGGCCUAGACACUGCAGGUGGGCCUAGACACAGCAGGUGGGCCUAGACACAGCAGGUGAGUGCAGGUGGGCCUAGACACAGCAGGUGAGUGCAGGUGGGCCUAGACACUGCAGGUGGGCCUAGACACUGCAGGUGGGCCUAGACACUGCAGGUGGGCCUAGACACAGCAGGUGGGCCUAGACACAGCAGGUGGGCCUAGACACAGCAGGUGAGUGCAGGUGGGCCUAGACAUAGCAGGUGAGUGCAGGUGGGCCUAGACACAGCAGGUGGGUGCAGGUGGGCCUAGAAGACAGAGCGCGUUUUUGGUGGUUACAGCCCUGUUCCACUCAUUUAUGUUAAUGUAUACAUAUAUGCACAUUAGGCACACACAAAUAAAAAAACAUUACUUUUUAAAUUGAAUAACUGAAUUCCAACAAAUCCCUGAAUUCAUUAUUUGUCCGUGCCAGGAAAAUGUUUAAUGUGCUAUAAUUCUAUCAAUAUCUAAGGGAUUUUAACAAUUCUAAAAGGUUUGGAGUAUCUUCAUCCCUUGUCCAACUGAUACAUUUAUUAGAAACAAACAAACAAACAACCUUUUAACAAUUUUGAUGACAGUUGCUACACAGUAAAUCUCAUUCAAGAGUUUCUUUUUAUUUUUUUUUAAAGAGUCAACGGCCAUCCCUCGUCCCUCAUACACAGAAGACCCCCAGGCCAGAGGCAGUGGCAUCAUCCCAGGAGCCAUUGCAGCUGCACUAUUCAUUGGUUUCGUAUUGGGUCUCUAUGCAGUUCUGUGGAAGUGUAUGGUCUCACCACCCCAAAGGAAGAAAAGGAGGGUGAGGGUUCGAGACAAGAGGAGCCAAGUAUGCUGACUGACAAUCAGGAUCUCAUCUAGGCCAUCUGGCCAGAGGAUCCAUUGGAUCCAACUCCUGCAUCAAACCCCGGCCAGUCAAACGGACCCGAAAAGAUCCACUGAUACUGACUUGUCUCUCAUCGGGAUGUUCCUGGACAUCAGAGAGGAAAUGGAGAUUCAGAAACAUUUGCAUAGAGCUAGGGGAUGGCAUAAUUAUGGAUCUAGCUUAUCAUGGUCAGAGGAUGGACCGGAAUCUAAGGAUCCGGUCAAAUGGAUCUAAAAGGAUCUUCUAAAUUGCCUUAAGAGGAUCCACUCAAAUGGCUAGAGGAUCCACUCAAAUGGCUAAAGGAUCCAACUGAAGUUGCGUCAGAGAGCAUGAAUAAACAAUCUAAAUCAGUUAAGCUGGGGUCUGCAGACUCAUCAAACUUGUAAACAUUUUUGUAUGUAAAAAAAUAAUAAUAAUCUGAAUAUUACUAACAGGUCACAUUUUUGCCAAGAGAUCUGUUGAAUUAGUUUAGAGUGUAAAUACAAUAAAAUGUCAUAUUAUUAAUAUACAAUUUAUGUUCUUAAACCCUGGACAACGUGGGCCUGGGAGGCUCACAGGGAUAUUGGCAUCUACAGUACUCACCAAUUAUACAUUUUUCAACUCAAUAACCCAUAGUGUGUGUAUAUUUUAAACUUCAGUUUUCUUUCUGUCUCAUGGGAAAAUGUGUUGAAUUGCAGAAGAUUAGUGCUAAAGCUGCAACAACACAAACUCUUUGCCCCAUGACAAAAUCUGUCAAGAGGCUGGCCUUUUAAAAUGUUCUUCCCCAGGACCGAGCCUUGGUUCGUCUGGCCAUACACUGAAGUCAUAGUAAAACACUGUGUAUGCUAUUUUUCUCACUCGAGUUGGUCUGAUUGAGGGGGUCCCUUUAUAUAUUUGCUAUCACAAAAAAGGUGCCGGACCCCAAUAGUUUGAGAGCCUGAUCUAAAUGAUUCUAGGAUCCACUGUAUGCCACAGUGCUAUGCCUGCGUGAGAUGCUGACUUUAACUGAAGCGUAGCUAUACUGUUGUCUGCGGGUCACUGACAGUUGACAGUGAAAUUUGUACUACUGAGGAAGGAGGCAGCACAGGUCACUGUUCUUCCUAUCGGUCAACAAGCCUACUGGCCUGGCAAACAUGUAGGUAUGUUUUUUUUUCUGUUUGGGUGAGAGUGUGUGUAGAUUUUGAUUAGGGCUGACUACAUGUGUUUGAAAGCAAAGGAAAGUGAUAAUGAAUGGGAAAUUUGCUAAAACUUUAUAUUUGGUUGUGCAUGUGAUAUGAUGGCUUUAGGUGAAUGAUUGAGCUGGAGUUAAUGGCCUUAUGAUAUCCAGGUUUGUCAUGUUACUUUUCCUCAGGAUGUCACUUACUGUUCCUUUCAUUAAACUGUGAUUUGUGUUCUUGCUCUUUUACUGAGUUUUCCCUUUUUUACUUUCAUCAGAGUUAAAUCUGAAUUUACACCCGAGUUACUAUUUAGUGUUGGGAUGAAUGUACAUUCAUUCUGAUUAACGAACAAUGCAAAUUAUGCAACAGAACACUAGGAAAGGAGAGGUUUAAAAUGAGCUCAAAAUUCUCUAUCAAAUACUAACAAAUUAUUGUGUUAGUGGGAGGUCUUGAAGUCAUACACAAUUAGAUGAUUCUAAGGAAUUCAAGUCUUAAGUCCUUUGGGUUUUAUGUAACUAAUAAACUUGUAAAAUGUUCAAA